rnacentral:lncRNA from 1 species
GUUCAGACACUGGAAAGCUCAUAUCUGGAGGUAAGUAGGUUCAAAGGAAAAGGAGACAUAGCACAGCGUAUAGCGAAAUGAUAUAACUCCUUACUAGUCCCAAUAGUUACACACAUUGAAUCAGAUUAGAUUCAGAUAUCGAGGUAGAGCCUUGUGCUAUAUUUCAUGAAAUGGGCCUCGGCAUAGAGAAAUCAUUAUCCUGUGCUCCUUGCUGGAUUGCCUCCCACUCAGAGAGGUGACCCAGCUGUGACCCAGACUCUGAACAGUUCUGUGUAAAUUUAAUUUUCAGCAUUACAUCAUUCCAACCGGAAUCUCACCUCCUUGCUUGCUGUUGUGCUGUGUGGCUUACCUGGUAGUGGGGAGACAAAAGGAGAGGAAGAAAACACACUGCAGGUUACGAAAUAGGAGACCAAGUGAGUUAGCCACAAGAAAAUUCAAAUGCUCAAUGGAUGACAAAGCAAGGCUGAAGUAUGGGAGUGUGAAGAGUUUGUUUCCUGACCAGCUUCAUUCAGAAAAGGGGAUUAUGCAUGCUAUGGGAUUUGAAGGAU